CCUACGGGAGGCUGCAGUGGGGAAUAUUGCGCAAUGGGGGGAACCCUGACGCAGCCAUGCCGCGUGAAUGAAGAAGGCCUUCGGGUUGUAAAGUUCUUUCGGUAUUGAGGAAGGGAUGUGUGCUAAUAGUAGACAUCAUUGACGUUAAAUACAGAAGAAGCACCGGCUAAAUCCGUGCCAGCAGCCGCGGUAAUACGGAGGGUGCGAGCGUUAAUCGGAAUAACUGGGCGUAAAGGGCACGCCGGCGGUUAUGUAAGUGAGGUGUGAAAGCCCCGGGCUUAACCUGGGAAUUGCAUUUCAGACUGGGUAACUAGAGGACUUUAGGGAGGGGUAGAAUGCCACGUGUAGCGGUGAAAUGCGUAGAGAUGUGGAGGAAUACCGAAGGCGAAGGCAGCCCCUUGGGAAUGUACUGACGCUCAUGUGCGAAAGCGUGGGGAGCAAACAGGAUUAGAUACCCUGGUAGUC
rnacentral:rRNA from 1 species